CCCCCAAAACUCGCGCGCCAGCUCACGAGCACCCGCGUGCCCGGCAGCUCCCGGAAAGCCUGCACCAAGUUUCCACGCCCACUGCUCCCGCCCCGACCCUCAGGGACGGGGCGUGGCCACCCCGGGGCGGGGCCCAGAGGAAACUCGGCGCCUGCGCCCUCUGCUGGACGAGCGAGGAAUGGAAGGAAAGAGUACUUCCGUUUCUGGGAACUGAAUAUGUAUUUAAAGACUUGCUCAGCGGAAUGCACGCCAGCACGAGGCCCCGCCUACAGAGCCUGUGAGCAGCUGCGAGCAUGACCAGAGGGGUUCUUGCACACAGGAACAGAAAUUCAACUCCCAGUUGCUUCCACUUCCCUAAUCUCCAGGCUACUUUGGAAGAACUUUGAAAAUAGGAACUUCUUUUCCAAAGAAGGAAGUGCCCUGCCUUGAUUUGCUAAUCAGUUGGGGGUUUUGUUGUUGUUGUUUUUGUUUUUUCUCCAAAGUCCUGACUUGCCAUUAAAUACUCAGCUCCUCCCUAUA